AGGGAUUUAGGUUAGCAGAGACCAAGAGCCUUCAAAGCCCUAAGCAAGUUAAUUAACACUUAAUCCCUG
rnacentral:tRNA from 3 species